UUCGUUCUGCACUUCUCCUUGCUGCCGCCACGUGGAGAACGUGUUUGCUUCACCUUCUGCCACAAUUGUGGCUGCUGUGCGCCAGGACCUUGACGAUCAUCACUCAACAGGCAUGACUGUGCCUGGCACUCAUGGUGUGUGGCCUGAGAGCCCGUGUCAGAACACCCUGGGACAAGCACUGUGCUUGAUGCUUUUCCUGCAUGGUUGCCUGCAGUUCAUCCUCACAACAGCCCCGUGAGGAAACGGCUGGGACUCUCCCCUUUUACCGCUGUUAGCUCUUCAAGAAAGAACAGAAAGAACAAAAGAAAGAACCCCAAGACCUAGCAUGCAGUGGCCGCUCAGUUGAUGACUUUGGAGGCCCCUUCUCCUCACCUUUCUUCAGCAGCUCGGCAGCGGCCAAGGCCUCGUGCAGGGUCACCCCAGCCCCGAUCACGGUCACCUGGUCAUCCUUGCUCUUCAGGACCACCUGGGGGUGACACAGAGGGUGAGUGAGGCUCAGGGCCUUGGGGCAGGUUGUGUCCUGACUGCUGGGAGUCACAGCAGGGAGGGUCCAGGCAGCUCUGUGGGCUCCUGGGGCAUGCGAGGCACUGACCUUGGCUUGUCCAACCUGGAAGUCCUCGUUGUUGUUAUAGAUGAUGGCAUUUUCUGGGCGGCUGGUCCGGAUGAAGCAGAUACCCUGAGAUCGAAACAGAUAAAUUGAGGAUACAGGAUGUGGCACACUCAACCUCAGAGACAAGGUCUUUCUAGAGAGGCCAUCCCUUCCCAUGGGAGUGUCACUGCAUCCUGGCUACUCCAGCAGGGAAAAGGGCCUUGCCUGCCCUCUGCCACCCGCACCCCACUUGAACACUCUGAGAACUACCCACCACCUUGCAGCCCCAGACCGAAGGCAACUUUCCACCAGGUAGACUGGCUGCAGGUGGGCUACUCUCGCAGACUGCACCAGGCAGAGGGGCAGGAACCACACGCACUGGGUCUGUGGUGUGCAGCUCCGGGCCUGGACCACGGGGCUCAGCUCAUCCUUGCCUGUCUUAGAGAACCCAACUCAGGAGGGUGGACAGGUGUCAACUGCCGGACCAGCCUGGGCUGCCGGGAUUCUCAGCAAAGACAUACUGUGGCAAUCAGUUGACAGUGUCUGCCACGUGGCAGUAAGUGGGGCGUGUAUUUCAUUUUUUCUUGUCUAACUUCCGCAAGCUACACAAACACCAGGGGCAAGGUCAGGAAACACACCCUGGGGCAGCAGUGACCAGCUCUGGCCUCCUCUUCUGUUUCCGUUGGGAAGCGAUGGCUACCAGCAGGAGAAACAGCAGCCAUGCGACCUACCUUUGUAUUGGCGGCUAGUUCCACUGCCUUCUCUGUAGCAACGCCAUCACUUGGGUAAAAGACAGUUGAUGUGGGGACUGACCGAAACAUAGCCAGAUCUUCCAGGGCCAUCUGGGAGGGCCCAUCUUCCCCUGAGGUGUGGGGAAAGGAUAUGCAGAAAUAAGACCCCCCCCUAUCCAUGGGCUGGAAUCCUGGCCCAUCCCCCUCCCAUACCUCCUGGUGCAAAAGUCAAGGGAGCUCCAGGUGUAAAUGCCCUGGCUAAACUCACCGAUGGAAACGCCGCAGUGGGAGCCGCAGAGGUUGAUAUUGCUCUCGGAGAUGGCGGCCAUGCGAAUCUGGUCAAAGGCCCGUGUGAAGAAGGCUGCAAAAGUGCUGCAGAAGGGCACCGUCCUGUUGCGGGUGGCACAGCCCACCGCGAUGCUCACCUGGGGGCAGGUGGGGCAGGGUCAGCCCAAAGGGGAAGGCAGAGGGUGGUCGGGGAGCCUAGGACCCCUUUCGUGGAGAAGGCCACAGUUUGUGUAUAGAUUGUCCAUCCUUUCUGGGCUUCUGAAUGUGUCCCCCACCACCUUCUUCUGCAGAGACUGGUCCUCCUAACCCCUCCCUAGGGUCCAAGGGCAGUAGCCUCAUGCCUGCUGAGGCUCCAGACCCCAAAUCACCCAUCCAGAAGCAGCACUGAGUACAGUCAUCAGUUCCAAACCGGCUGCCCCUCAAGGCUCCAAAAUCUGCCAGCCAACACGAGGCCUCCUUCCCCAGUACCUGGGGCCUCCCCAGCCCCACACCCUGCAGAGCAGUCUCUGGAAACCACAGAGAGAAUUUCAGGUCCAGUUGGAAGAACUCUGGAGAUGUGAGUGCCCUCCAGAGAGAGGAAGCUCCCUGUCCCUAGGGGCCUGCAAGCCAGGCUGGGCUCCUGGACCACCAGGAGGAGAUGUUUUGAAAAAAUGGACAAAACAUUGUUCUUUACUUCACAACUUCCGUUCCUGACAAGGGUCUGCUUCCCCAAAUGGGUACAUGUCAGGGGCCCAGAGUUCCCUCAUCUCUGCAUCCCUCAGGGUGGCAGGGCCCAGAGCCGUGUGCCUUACGGGUGCUCAACAGACUCUGGCUGCUAAACCCAUCACGGCCCCACCUACUGGCCGGGCCUGUCCUCCACCUGGAAGAGACCCCAUUCACUAUCAGGCCUGGCCUGCACGCAGCUCCUCCUGAGAGCACCUGCAGUCCCCUUCGGCUCCCCCAUGUGCACACCUGUCCAGGACAUUUGCACCUGGGCAGAACCUCCCAAACUGUGGCUACUCAAGGUCAGGGGUUAACGCUGGGUCUUGGCUUUUCUUAUCGUCUCCCUGGGCUGGCCCACAGCAGGCACCUGGCUCUGCCAACAUGGCUGCCCCACAGCCCUCAGACCACAGCCCUCAGCCUUGGGUGGACCUGUCCCUGCCGGCCCCGGCACCCACCAUGUUCUGCUCGGCAAUGUAGCACUCGAUGAAGCGGUCUGGGUGCUCCUUUUUGAAGAUCUCUGAGAAGGUGGAAUUUUUGGUGUCCCCAUCCAGGGCGAUGAUGCGGUCACUGGCAUGGCCCAGCUUGGCCAGUGCCUGCCCGUAGGCCUUGCGGGUGGCUAUCUGUGAGGAAGAUAGUGGCAAGGCUCUGGACCCCUCUGAGGGUGAGUGCACACUUGCAGCCUGCAGCCCUGCUUUCAGAGAAGGAUUAAAACGGGGCCAAAAAUGGAAGCCCUGCAGCACAAGGUCCUGCAGAGGCUUUUAACUGCUGAAAGCUUGCCAACGACUACGGUCAAUGUCUUGGGAGCCCCUGGAGCUCCCGCCCCUAGCCUGGCUGUGAAAGGUAUAAGCUACAGAAGACACCCACCAGCCCCAACUUCCCGCCUGCUGCACCAGGUCUAUGAACCUAUUCCACUUUGCACGGGAACACAGAAGGCUUGAGAGUCAAGGCCAGGUGCAGGCUGCAUGGACGGGUUCCCUUGGGACAGAAACCUGGAGCGGGACAGCUCUGCCUAGCCUUUCCCAGGUCAUGUGGGGGGUCCUGAGCUCAGGCCAAGGGUCCCUUGUGGACCAGCGAUGCAAAGACUUGGGAGUGAGUCCUUGGCUUUGAUCCCAGUUCUGUCAGUAGCUUGCUAAGCUUGCUAACUGGGCAAUUCCCUUGCCCGUUCUGAGCCUCCACAGGUCAGCUCCAGAGCUGUCUGUCCUGCUGAGGGAAGUGACAGGAACAACACCUCAGGGAUCACUCCUUGCCCUAAAUGAAUCGCUCUCCUCCCUUUCCCGCCCUCCAGAGGGUGUAUCUGGGCCACAGACUUGGGGAACCUGAGAACUACGGGUCCAGAGAAACAGGCCCCACUUUGUACCUUGUCCCCAACUUUGUAGCUGGGCAGGCUGGGCAUGCGGAUGUUGGCAAUGUCCACCGAGGGUGCGUCCUCCUGCGGAGGGGUUGCCAGGAUCUUCUUUUUGCUCUGGAUCUGGCUGUAGAUCUCCUGGAUGAUCUGCUCAGCCAUGUUUUUGGGGAGGGGCUUCCCAUGCCAAGACUCCUUAUCUUCUACCCCUGCAGACCCAACACGGGAGGACAGAGGAAUGGGUAAGACAGAAGCUCCCAGAGGGCCAGAAGGCUGCUCCAGGAGACUGGCCCCCCACCUGCCGAGGGCAAGGGAGGAAUGGCAUCAUCCCAGCCAGGCAGAGCCCAGCCAGGCACGGGGGCCAGGAAAGGAGGGUCACAGUGAAUAGGAUGGACUCCUAUGUGCCCACCACUCACUGCCUACUGCCUGGUCCUCCGGGAGCUCACAGUUGAGUGGGAAAGGAGGGGCCAGACGUGGGCAGGUGUGUGUUUCUGGGCCCGCUGCCCCAUCCCUUCACCAAUGUGUCCAUUCUCUUCCUCCCUGCAACCCCGCCCGCAGGGUCACACACAAGUGGAGGUGUCUGCUGCAGAAAUAGUUUGUCGACUGGGUUGGAAGGGACCCUGGCCAUCAGAAGGGGAACCCAAGGCCCAGAACAGGGCUUCCAGGGUCACCCGAUGCAUCUGUGAGGAGCAGAGGGGUCUAUAAGCACCUAGGCGUGCCCACCCCAUGGCACCUUGUUGUGUGGGGCCAGCAAGGCUGAAUAUCCGUCUUCCUGGAGGUCACCUCACUAGUCACUAGAGUCUGGCCAGAGCCAAGAACAGACUGAACUCCCAGGUAGCACCCAGCAGCCCCAAAGCCUAGCAAGAGCCCCCCAAAAGCUGCAAGUGGUCCAGAUCCUGCCCGGUAUUAACAAACACCUGAGGGCAGUGCCAGGCAGCAGCACCAAAGCCAUGACAAUAUCCCAGAGCCCUUUCCUCGACAUCCACCCCCUCCCAGAUACUGCCCAGCACUGCCAAACCCCCACUCAGAACGCCCUCAUAUACCUGAGUCUACAUGGGCAGAACAAGCCACAACCCCUGAGAGCAGGCAGGUGGGCAGCCAGGGGCAUUUGGCAGGGAAGCCGACCCAGGCCCUGGGAUCAACCCCCCUAGUGCCACAGACUUCCUCUGUCCCCGGGCAAGUCCCUGACCACUUGCAGCCUCAUUUUCCCAUCUUUAAAAUGGGUGAGGCCAUCCCAGGCCUAGGAAUCUGGAGCCCACACCUGGGUGCCGGGGAGUGACUUACGCCUGCCUCAUUCUCCGGCCUGGGGCAGAACCCAGGUUCCAAACCCCCCGAGGCUCUCGGCCCACACAGGCCUUGCUCAGCAUCUGCCAUUGUUUGAGGAGUACCCCACUCACCUCCUAGAGGGAACAGUUCUCUCCAGGCCCUGCCUGGCUCUGUGUUGGCCCUUCAGCUGGAGCAGGUGGCUGGAGCUGGCAGAGCACACAGAGCUGCGGCUCUGAAAGGCACCAGCCAGGGCGGGGCACGGGGGCUGCCUCUCUCCAAGACCUUCCUCUCACCCACAGACCCUCUAAGUCCCUCCUCCUCUCCUGCCUGUACAUGCCCCCACCGGCAGAGGCCAGAUGGAUCUGAGUUCAAAUCCUGGCUCAGCCACAGGGGUCACUGAGUCACAGCGUCUCCCGCUCCCCUUCCCUGGAGCCUGGUGCACUCAGUGAGCAGCAAGGGCUGGUGUUUCCCCGGAUGUGAGGGUCACAGCUAUAUAGCCACAGGGUCUGGGCCAGGGGUGAAGGUGGGGAGGGCGGCUUGUGCAUACUGACCCGUGAUCCCUCGGCCCUUGAAGGUCUUGGCAAUGAUGGCUGUUGGCUGGUGCUUGGCCUGGCCAAAGGCCUUGCACAGCUCCUCCACGCUGUGUCCAUCCACGAUGAUGGCAUGCCAACUGGGGACAGGGGGCAGAGAGUAAGGGGCAAUUCCCAGGGGCCACAGCACCGAGAAGCCUCCCAGGGAAAGGUCUGCCUUGGCAUCUGGGGGUCUGCCCAGGCUCCACCCCACAACUGUGGCCUCAGCUGGAGUAGUAGGAAGCUUGCAACAUUCCUGUUUCCAGUUUGGGUUUUUUAAAUCCUUUUCUUUUUCACAUUAUUUUACUUCCUUUUGUUUGCCUCUGAACAGGUUUUCCUCCUCUUCCUAAGUAAUCCAGAGCUCAGUUCCUUUAUUGUCUCUUUCAUUCCUGAUCUGCUCAUUUCCUCCUGAAAUCUGUUCUGGGGUCAGCACACUGGGUUUGGAAUCUGUCUGCUAUUAGAUUCUUGAUGAAUUUUUUGGCCCAGUUUUUAUUUGGGGAACACAUUUGAUCACUCCACAGAUGCUGGAUGUGGUGCUGGAAAUGUUUUUGAAAUGAACCAUGUUGUCAAAUAUACAGGAAAGAGCUGGGGCAGAGCAGCCUUUCUCUCGAAAAGCUAUCUUUUUUAGGGAUUCUCUUUGGCAUAAUAAGAAUAAAAAUGGCACUUCUCAAACUGAGUGCCAUGCCAAUCACUACCCAUAUUAGCCCACUGAAGCCUCACCACGCCAUGCUUGGUUGUUGAGUUGGCCCCAUUUUACAGACAAAUCAACUGAGACAUUGAAGGUGGAGUUAAGUAACGUGACCCACACCACAAAGCAAGUUAGCGGUGGAGCCAGGACUUCAGGAAUCUGGCUUGAGUCACGAGGUUAUGGACACAGGUCCUGGGGGUGCUGCUGGGGUUGUACUCUGAGUCCCCAGAUAGAUGUGGCCUUGGGGAGGCCUGUGGGGUGAGGACCCUGUGGCUCAGUUUCCUCGCCUGUCCAACAGAGAUUAUUUCCUCCCUUCCUCCUCUCCCUUUCUGAGGUCAGUCAACAGGGAACACAGGCCUGCGUCUGCUGUGCUACUGCAAGGUAACCCCAAGCAGCCUGUUACUUAGUGUAGUCACAGGCGUGGGCUCAUCUGCAAAACGCAGCCCUGGAGGCCUGACCUGAGUCUCAAAGCCUUGCACGGCGCCUGCCCUGCUCCCUCCCCUCCACAGCCUCCUCAGCCAAUGCUGGGCCCUGUGCAGAACAGCUUGUGUUUGGGAACACCGGUGGAGGCUUUGAGGUGGGGCCCCUCUGGCUGACACCCAUGCAGAUUGACCUCCCUGCUUUGUGCCCGCUGACCCUGAAUUCGUAACCAAUCAAGGCCGGAAGGGGGCAUCUGGAAACCCUAUCUCCCGUUUCACCAGGAGCCUGUUCCUCCUCCCCAGGCUGGCUGGGCUGGGCACAGGACGUGGCCACCAAACUGAGGUUCAAACCUCUCCACAGCUAUAUGUCCUUUAGCUUUACCGAGCGAGCCCCCAUCCCUCAAGAACCCUCCCUCCUCAAGAACAAAGUGAGCUGACGUGAGAUGGUGUGUGGAAGCUCCGAGAGCCACCAUGCCACAACCACAAGAACAAGGAAACUCACUUAAAACUGGGCCUGGCCCACAUAUCCUGAGCCACUAAGUCCAAAUGCCUAGAGUUUGAAAUUGUGAGUCAAAUGCUAAAGAAAGGGACCUUUAGAUGGUGCUUAAGGUCCCAGCUUCAGCUCCUGCACCUGCACCUGCAAAGCUGCGAUCACAGACCACUCUCCGUGCUGUGACCAGACUCAGGCCACAGCCUCGUACGUACCCGAAGGCCUCGCACCGCUUCUGGUAGAUGUCCAUCUGGUGCUGCAGCGGGGCCGGGUCACUCUGGCCCAGGCGAUUGAUGUCUAGAAUGGCCACGAGGUUGUCCAGCUUAUAGAUGCUGGCAAAGGCCAUGGCCUCCCAUACGGAGCCCUCUGACAGCUCCCCGUCUCCCAGCAAGCAAUAGACUCGGUAGCUGUGGACAGAGAGUGAGUCAGGCCAGUCCUCCUCACCUGGACCCAGCUGGCUCCCACCCCGCUCCCACCCCUACCCAUCCAAGAAGCCUGCACUCUGGGUAAAGGAGCAGCCACGUGUGGAUAUGCAGAACAGACGGCAUUUACACUCGAGGGGCAACAGUGUCACCAGGUCCCUGCAGCCUACCACAAGCCACACCCCAAGAGAAAAUGGCCAUGAAGGAAGCCGUCAGGAGCUCAGGAAAAAGUACUGGUUGUUAAGAAACAGAGGUCUAGGACAACAGGGAUCUGCCUAAUAAGAUCUAGAAAAAUGGGGGUUGUUGGAACGAGAGGAAAGUGAGUAACAGUGGGUGAACAGGCUUGAGCCACCUACUGCAGGGGACGGACCCCGCUUUGAACCAGAGGUUGGAGGAGGCCUUGGGACUGGCUGGGUGGGCCAGUGGUAAAGGUGAACCUUGGGAACCAAGCUCUGCUUCUGCCCGGAGGAGGGAGGUGGGCCAGGGAGGCCUGAGGCACUCUAGGCAACACCCUGGAGCAAGAGGGCUCAGGGGAGGACGGAGCAGAGGGCCCUUGAGGACCAGGCGCUUCAUGGGACAGGCUCUCCCCAAGCUUCCAAGACUGGCUCUUGACCCCAAGACUGAAGCUGCACCUGGCCCUUUCUCUACCACGGGGGCCCUCUCCUCCCCUCAACACAGGCAGCUGUGAUCUUUUCAAGACAGUGAGACAUGUUAAAAAGAACAGUGAACUUGGGAUAAAUUAUCCAGUUCAGAACGUUCCCAGGCCUCUGGGGAGGGUGGGCGAGGGGGUGAGGCUAGAGGAAGGGAGACCAGUUCAGGGACUCUGAGCCCAGCCUGGGAGACGUGAGGGGAUCGGGGUAGCAGAGGGAUGGCAGCAACAGACACAGGACUUGUCUGAAGGUCGCGCUGUCAGGAAGUUGCUGAGCCAGGAUUCAAAUGCAGGUCUGACUAUAGCCUAGACUGUCCACUCCUUGCCAUGUAAGCAUGCAUGUAGGGUGAGGAGUGGUAGGACUUGGGGACCUCCCCUUACCCUGCCCAGUGUCUAGCUGUGUAGCCCCAGGAAAUGAGGCUGGUGCCUGGUUGGGCUCAGAGGGGACACGGCUGCCCUUCUGCUCCUGCAGGAAAAGGCCCUCAACCCCGCUGCAUGCUCAGCAGUCCAAGCCUCCAGGCCUCCCUGCUGCAAGGCCAAGGCAGGGGCAGCAGGAAGAGGCUGGGACAGCCAGCCACGGAGCUGUCAGCAUGACUCAGCACUUCCACAUGCCAGCAGGCUGGGAGCACUCCCUGCAGCCUCUCCUGCCUCGUGCUGCUCUUCUGCGGCCUCCACCACAGGAGGUGGUGCCCCUGUGGGGUACCAUGGCCUGAAGGACAAAGCCUCAGGCACACACUUCAGAGGCCCUAUCCUGUCCCAGCCUUGCCUCCUCUUUCCCCUGUAGGUUUUGAGGGGGCCCAGAGACCCUGGAGGGGCUCUGGUCUGGUACAGCAGCUACAGAAAGGGGCCACAUGAUGGGGCUGAGCCAGAGAAGCCAACUCGACUUCCCAGAAAAGGAUUCCAGGGAAGCCAACUGGCUGCCACCCCAAGCCCACACCCACUUCCAGGGAAGUCGAACCGAGGCUAGCACUGGAGGCCCAGCACAGCUUUGGCUUCGAGACUAGGGACAAGGCUAAGCCCUAUGGGGCCAUCAGGCUCAGGUCAGAGGGUGUGCUGAGGUCCCGAGGAGAUGCCAAGGAAGGGGUUGUGAACAGGGAAGGGGCCUACAGGAGCCUGGGCUAACCCUGAGGCUUGGUAUUGCCUGAGCUGUUAGAGUUAGGGGUGGGGGGCUGCAAACAUCCAUUCAUGAACUAAUUUGAAGAGAGGGGACCCUAAACAGAAGGCCGACAUUUGUUGCAGAACGAUUUGGAAACUACCUUACGCGUCCAACAACAGAGGACUAGCUAGAUGGAUUAUAGCAUCUCCAUAAAACAGAACAUUAGGUGAUCAUUAAAACCAGCUCUCAGGAUGGGUGCAGUGGCUCACGCCUGUAAUCCCAGCACUCUGGGAGGCUGAAGUGGGCAGAUGACCUGAGGUCAGGAGUUUGAGACUGACCAUCCUGGCCAAUGUCAUGAAACCCCGUCUCUACUAAAUAUAUAAAAGUUAGUUAGCUGAGUGUGGUGGUGCGGGCCUGUAAUCCCAGCUACUCGGGAAGCUGAGGCAGGAGAAUUACUUGAACCCAGGAGGCGGAGGUUACAGUGAGCUAAGAUGGCACCACUGCACUCCAGCCUGGGUGACAGAGCAAGACUCCAUCUCAAAAAAAAAAAAAACAAAAAAAAAACCCAGCUCUCCACUGUUAAUGUCAGGAGAAAAAGCUCAUGAUAGAAGGCUUGGUUUAAAGUGUAAUACUAGGUUUUACAUUAUACACACACACACACACACACUGGGAUGACAGGUUUGUAAGCUUUUCUCAUGAUAACAUGGACAAAAUACAUCAUUAGAUUUAAAUUGGGGGUGGGAGGCAGUGUGUUAAGAAUAAGGAAAAUGUUGGUUGGGUGUGGUGGCUCACGCCUGUAAUCCCAGCACUUUGGGAGGCCGAGGUGGGCAGAUCACAAGGUCAGGAGAUUGAGACCAUCCUGGCUAACACGGUGAAAGCCCGUCUCUACUAAAAAUACAAAAAAUUAGCCAGGCGUGGUGGCACCUACCUGUAGUCCCAGCUACUUGGGAGGCUGAGGCAGGAGGAGAAUCACUUGAACCCGGGAGGCGGAGGUUGCAGUGGGCCGAGAUCGUACCACUGCACUCCAGCCUGGGUGACAGAGCGAGACUCCAUCUCAGAAAAAAUAAAAAUAAAAAAAUAAGGAAAACGUUCAUUUCUUAAUAUCAUUCUGUACUUUUUAAACAGGAGGGCAGGGAGAAACAGUGAGCAGCGACCAGUUUGCUCUAUCAAGAUGCUACCUCUGGGUGCCUGGCCUGACAUGAUAAUCCCUGGAUGCCCUGGCCCCUUCCCCCAGGUACAGUCGGGGGCCUAGGCUCCAGGCAACCCUGGCCCCAAGCCACCCUGGCUUCUGGGAACCCAGCUAAACUCCUUCUCCCUACACUGACUUGUUCCAUUAUGUUAGGGGUCAGGAAAUGCCCCUUCACAGGGAAUUAUUUCCAGCAACUGUAGGGAAUAAUUAACUCACAUCUCUGGUUCUCUGCCAAAUAAAAUGCUCUUAAACAUGCA